GCCAGGUGCGGUGGCGCACACCUAUAAUCCCAGUGGCUCGGGAGGCUGAGGCAGGAGGAUCACGAGUUCAAAGCCAGCCUCAGCCAAAGCAAGGUGCUAAGCAACUCAGUGAGACCCUGUCUCUA
rnacentral:sRNA from 1 species